GUUUAACGUAGCUUAGUCCAACCCCUGUGACAUACCAAUUGUUGCCUCGGCGGAUCAGCCCGCUCCCGGUAAAACGGGACGGCCCGCCAGAGGACCCCUAAACUCUGUUUCUAUAUGUAACUUCUGAGUAAAACCAUAAAUAAAUCAAAACUUUCAACAACGGAUCUCUUGGUUCUGGCAUCGAUGAAGAACGCAGCAAAAUGCGAUAAGUAAUGUGAAUUGCAGAAUUCAGUGAAUCAUCGAAUCUUUGAACGCACAUUGCGCCCGCCAGUAUUCUGGCGGGCAUGCCUGUUCGAGCGUCAUUUCAACCCUCAAGCCCUCGGGUUUGGUGUUGGGGAUCGGCGAGCCCUUGCGGCAAGCCGGCCCCGAAAUCUAGUGGCGGUCUCGCUGCAGCUUCCAUUGCGUAGUAGUAAAACCCUCGCAACUGGUACGCGGCGCGGCCAAGCCGUUAAACCCCCAACUUCUGAAUGUUGACCUCGGAUCAGGUAGGAAUACCCGCUGAACUUAAGCAUAUCGGACUGGGGGAAGGAAAA
rnacentral:rRNA from 1 species